rnacentral:rRNA from 1 species
UACAGAGGGUGCAAACGUUGCUCGGAAUUACUGGGCGUAAAGCGCGUGUAGGCGGUUCGUUAAGUCGUCUGUGAAAGCCCAUGGCUCAACCAUGGAAGUGCAGCCGAUACUGGCAAACUUGAGUCCUGGAGAGGGUGGCGGAAUUCCCAGUGUAGAGGUGAAAUUCGUAGAUAUUGGGAGGAACACCGGUGGCGAAGGCGGCCACCUGGACAGGUACUGACGCUGAGACGCGAAAGCGCGGGUAGCAAACAGG